ensembl:lncRNA LRRC77P leucine rich repeat containing 77, pseudogene
GUUGUUGUUUAUGUAAGAAUUUCAAGGCCACAACUCCAUAUUUGAAGUAAAGUGCUCAUAAAAUUAAUUGCAAGGUUUUGAGAAGCCAUCUGCAGCUCACAACUAGAUGAGUGACACAAUCAGAUGUGCGUAUGCAAAAAAAAGCCUGGAGACAUUGAACUAAGAUCAAAUUUAAUGUAUUAAAUAUGGUAGAAAGAAGAGAGAAUGAAAAAUAAUGUUAACAAUCUAGGUGAGGAAUUGCUGAGGAGACAAAUUAAGUAAAUCCUGUGGAAGGAAAGAAGAAAGGAGGAAAGAGGAUUGGAUGGAAGAAUCUCCACUUCUCAUAGGUGUAGUCCUUCCUUAGCCUGCUUUUUAAUGAGUGCUGCUAAAGCCCUUAGCCUGCCUGUUUACCCUUGGAGUGGAGCAAUGAACUGAAGAUAUUUGAGUGAGUUCAAGAGAGACUCAGAAGAGAAGAAUUGGAGGCAGCAAACAUAGACAGCACUUUUAAUGCUUUUCUCAUAUGCUGUAAGACAUGAAAGCAAUCUAUUGGGAUGAAAGCUGAAAGGAGAAGCGGGACAAGAGAAGUGAAUCCGUGGAAGACCCCCAAAAGAGGCUGCAGAUUCUUAGUGGACAGCUCUCAUAUCCCCUCCAGGGAAAAUGAUGAAAAAUGUCUUCAGAAAAAUAGCUUUAUGAAGGCAAGAGGACUUUUUGCACCUGCAAGACAUGUCUGAAAGCUCCUCAGGUCAAAACACAAGUAGUCAAGAGAUUUGUCCAUCUAAUUCAUCAUACUACUCUGAUCCAAGUGAGACCCACACUGGGUCAGCUCCAUCAAGGAGAAGAACAUUCCACCCACGUUUGGAUUCUGGAAUAUCAUCCUUGCUUCCAUCAGAUUCUUGUAAGUACCUCACUUGGCACAAGGUAGACAUGACGUUCAAGGAAGUCAACUGCGUUGCCCAAGAGUAAGAGAAGGAAUCUCUGAAGAAGAGCAACUUUUCAGACAGGUAGAGUGUGCCUUGCUCCCAAGGAAAAGAGUUCUUGAAAAAAACAAAUGGGAAACAUGGCUACAAGAAAACUGGGAAGACUGCAAGAAUUUGAACAUUUCAUUUCAGGGUUUGGGGGAUCCUUACCAAGUUGAAAAUUUUAACAGAAUUCUUAGAAGACUAAUUCGAGUUGAAACCCUCUGAGUAUUCUCCUGUUUGCCAAACUUAAAAAUGCUGGAUGGAAUCUUGAAGCUACCAGAAGAUUGCUUAUCACCAGAAACCAAUAUUUUUUCAAAAAUAUGCCUUGUAUCCUAAUGCAGUCUGUAUAGAAAGAAAGCAAUCAUCAUUGUUGCUAAAAGCUAAUAAACACAGGACAUGCAUGAU